rfam:Bacteroides uniformis CAG:3 genomic scaffold, scf31
GCCCUAUUGACGGAUUGAACGGCAACUGAUAGCGAGAAUCGGGUAGGGC